CCUACGGGUGGCAGCAGUGGGGAAUAUUGCUCAAUGGGGGAGACCCUGAUGCAGCGACGUCGCGUGAGUGAAGAAGUAUCUCUGUACGGAAAACUCCAUCAGCAGGGAAGUAAAUGACGGUACCUGACUCAGAAGCCCCGUCUAACUAGGUGCCAGCAGCCGCGGUAAUACGUAGGGGGCGAGCGUUAUCCGGAUUUACCGGGUGUAAAGGGAGCGUAGACGGGAGCACAAGUCUGGAGUGAAAUCCCGGGGCUCAACCGUGGAACUGCCUUUGAAACUGGCCGGCUUGAGUGCAGGAGGGGUAGGCGGAAUUCGUAGUGUAGCGGUGAAAUGCGUAGAUAUCACGAAGAACACCGGUGGCGAAGGCAGCUUACUGGACUGUAACUGACGUUGAGGCUCGAAAGUGUGGGUAUCAAACAGGAUUAGAUACCCUUGUAGUC
rnacentral:rRNA from 1 species